UACGAAGGGGGCUAGCGUUGCUCGGAAUUACUGGGCGUAAAGCGCACGUAGGCGGCUUUCUAAGUCGGGGGUGAAAUCCUGGAGCUCAACUCCAGAACUGCCUUCGAUACUGGAAAGCUCGAGUCCGGGAGAGGUGAGUGGAACUGCGAGUGUAGAGGUGAAAUUCGUAGAUAUUCGCAAGAACACCAGUGGCGAAGGCGGCUCACUGGCCCGGUACUGACGCUGAGGCUCGAAAGCGUGGGGAGCAAACAGG
rnacentral:rRNA from 1 species